rnacentral:rRNA from 1 species
UUUUUUUAUGGAGAGUUUGAGCCUGGCUCAGGACGAACGCUGGCGGCGUGCUUAACACAUGCAAGUCGAACGGAAAGGCCUAGCUUGCUAGGUACUCGAGUGGCGAACGGGUGAGUAACACGUGGGUGAUCUGCCUCGUACUUCGGGAUAAGCCUGGGAAACUGGGUCUAAUACUGGAUAGGACCAUGCUUUAGUGUGUGUGGUGGAAAGUUUUUUCGGUACGAGAUGAGCCCGCGGCCUAUCAGCUUGUUGGUGGGGUAAUGGCCUACCAAGGCGUCGACGGGUAGCCGGCCUGAGAGGGUGGACGGCCACAUU